CUCUAGCCCUGAUGGAAGCAAAAAUCCUUUAAGGCCAGGGUUUGGCCUUAAAGAUUGUAGCGUACAGCAGGAGGGAUU
rnacentral:sRNA from 1 species